rnacentral:rRNA from 1 species
GCGCAGCAGUCGAGAAACUUUACAAUGUGCGAAAGCACGAUAAGGGAACUCUGAGUGCCUCCUAAGGAGGCUGUUCAGGUGUCUAAAAGCACCUGGAGUAAGGGCUGGGUAAGACCGGUGCCAGCCGCCGCGGUAACACCGGCAGCCCAGGUGGUAGCCACUUUUAUUGGGUCUAAAGCGUCCGUAGCCGGUUGAGUAAGUUCCUUGGGAAAUUUGGCUGCUCAACAGUCAAGCUUCCAGGGAAUACUGCUCGACUUGGGACUGGGAGAGGUCAGAGGUACUCCAGGAGUAGGGGUGAAAUCCAUUAAUCCCUGGGGGACCACCGGUAGCGAAGGCGUCUGACCAGACCAGGUCCGACGGUGAGGGACGAAGGCUAGGGUCGCGAACCGGAUUAGAUA